rnacentral:rRNA from 1 species
CCUACGGGAGGCAGCAGUGGGGAAUAUUGGGCAAUGGGCGCAAGCCUGACCCAGCAACGCCGCGUGAAGGAAGAAGGCUUUCGGGUUGUAAACUUCUUUUGUCAGGGACGAAGCAAGUGACGGUACCUGACGAAUAAGCCACGGCUAACUACGUGCCAGCAGCCGCGGGAAUACGUAGGUGGCAAGCGUUAGCCGGAUUUAUUGGGUGUAAAGGGCGUGUAGGCGGGAAUGCCAGGCAGAUGGGAAAACUCUGGGCUCAACCCAUAGCCUGCAUUUGAAACGGUAUUUCUUGAGUGCUGGAGAGGCAAUCGGAAUUCCGUGUGUAGCGGUGAAAUGCGUAGAUAUACGGAGGAACACCAGUGGCGAAGGCGGAUUGCUGGACCGUAACUGCCGCUGAGGCGCGAAAGCGUGGGGAGCAAACAGGAUUAGAUACCCCUGUAGUC